rnacentral:rRNA from 1 species
AAUCAACGCUGGCGGCGUGCCUCAGACAUGCAAGUCGAACGAUUAAACUUUCCUUCGGGAAAGAUAUAAAGUGGCGUACGGGUGAGUAACACGUAAGUAAUCUACCUUCGAGUGGGGAAUAACGUUCGGAAACGAACGCUAAUACCGCAUAAUGCAGCGGCAUCAUAUGAUGACAGUUGUUAAAGCAUUUAUGCGCUUGAAGAGGAGCUUGCGGCAGAUUAGCUAGUUGGUAAGGUAAUGGCUUACCAAGGCAAUGAUCUGUAUCCGGUCUAAGAGGACGGUCGGACACACUGACACUGAAUAACGGGUCAGACUCCUACGGAGGCAGCAGUCGGGAAUUUUGGGCAAUGGGCGAAAGCCUGACCCAGCAACGCCGCGUGAAGGAUGACGGCCCUGGUUCGUAAC